UCCCUGGUGGCUCAGAUGGUAAAGCAUCUGCCUGCAAUGCGGGGCACCUGGGUUCGAUUCCUGGUUAGGGAA
rnacentral:tRNA from 1 species